CGCGAACGUGGCCUGGGACCCCGGAUACUUGAGUUUUGGGGGGUCUAACAGAAGGACCAGAAUAAAUGUGCUUCCAUGAGUGUCUGCCCAGAGCAGUGGCUUUGUUCUUCUCUCAGACACAACAUCCUUCUGGGAAGGUGGGAAUUCCACAGCACAGCCUUGCAUCCUGGGCAUUUCCUGUCAGACAGAACUCUUCUGAACCCAGCCUCUCAGGGUCUUGUCAGGUUGACAUCCUGCAAGUUGGGACAACUGGCGCCCAAAGUGCAGCUGGAUAGAGUUGGGGAUCUGGGAACUUCAGUGCUCAUUAGAGGGACCGGCCCGUCCAUGCAGUGAGGCGUCCACAACAAGGUUGAUUGUGAGCCUCGGUUGGAGGAAGACCCAGCAGCCUGCCCAAUGCUUGGGACUUUCAGUUCAUGAGCACCACCUAUGUGGAAAAGGUGAGUAAUGGGACAAGCAUUUAACAAGGAAGAUUUAUAUCUUUCUGGGAUCAAAGAAUCCCUCAUGGUGAGAGAAGCUCAGGACAAAAAGAAACAAUUUAAAAAACUUCUUCCUCUUUAUCGGGGAUCUUUGUCCAUGGUUCCCGAAGGGAGGAACCAUUAAUGACAAGAAAUGGGCUAGAGUUGGCAACUGCCUCCAAGAGUUGAUCGUCUGGCAACAUGGCAGACUAGAUGGGUUUGUAAGACAGGAAGUGCAACAGUGUGGGAUGGGGCCAGGUUAGGGAAAGGUCAUCAGUAAGAAGCCCAUGUUAGGUUAGUUUAAAAAGUAAAAGAAAGAAAGCUCCACACCAUCUUCUUAAUGCUAUUAUGUUUGAAGCUGCCAGCGCUUCUUUGCUUCUGCACCUGGCUUGCGAAUUCGUCCACUGUUACAGUGGCCAAUGGUAACGUUCUCCUUGUUGAUUCUUGGGGAAUGCUGGGAAGCUGCAAGUGAGGUCAUGGAAUUAGAGAGUUGACAGUGAUACUAAGCUGGCUCUGCAGUGCAGGAGGCUAAGGAGAUGUGGAUGUCAGGAGGGACUCCUAUUAUAAGACUUUUGGGCCUGAAAAAAUCCCUGUCCAAAUCACCGCUCUUGGCAUUUCUACUUUUGCUUUUUGCAUGAGCCAGAAAUGUUUUCAGUAGUUUCUUUUCUUCUCUUUUUUUUUUCCUAAAGGAAUGGUGGUAUAAACCUAAUACAAUGCUUAGGAAUAGAGUAUACAGAGGGGCUAUAAGUGAGACCUGGCAAAGAAUUGAGCUGUGUAGCUAAGACCUCUGGAUCUGUAGUUAUGCGCAGAGGCCUUUCUGAAAGCUGUCUGAAGAUUUCCUGUCUUCUCAUUCUUCUCACUUAACCAUUCACUGACCACGUGCUUCUUUGUUUUGGGGUACUUUGUGGGGCAUUUCCUAAGUGCUGGAAUUUCCACGUCAGUAAUUAUUUCUGUUGCUGCAGUUUCAGUUUCUGGCUCUACAGCAAGUACAGUGUUUUAAAUAUCGUUAUGUUGUGACGUAACUUCAAUAUCAGGAGAAGAUGGCUGUAUGUCUGAACACAUGCUGAGGGUCCUGUGUCUCCGACACUGCUGUCCAAUGUCCCGAUCAACCCAUUCUACAUGCCCCCCCCCCCGAAAAUGACCUUGAUGACACUGACUCAAUGAUUGGCUUGGCUGGCUUCGCUUGUAUGGAACAAUAACCUCCUGUUGCUCCUUUUUGCUUCCUUCUACCUAUUCCUACUACUCCCCCAUGGUUAACCACCCUCCUCCCUUCCCUCCUUGGACCUUUGCUAGGGCUCCUCUUGUUAAUCUCCUUUGGCCCUUGGGCCUUUAAUUGACUUGUGGCCUUUGUCAAGCAGCAAGUGGACUCUGCCACUCAGCCUGUCCUGGCCCAAUACCAACCACUUCCCCACGGCCAGCUUCAGAGGUGCAGACCUGGCUGGUACUGCAAGGAGACCUCAUCUUAUGCCUAUGCACAAUGGGGUGGAUGUCCUAAAGCUUCCCCACCCCCACAAAAGGAAUCUGGACAGUCCUACCUUUCAGAUGGCUCCAAGAAGCUGUCCCUGAGAUCAGAGAAAAAUGUCCUUUAUAAAAUCCACAUGGAUUCUCCAAUUGGGGGCCAGGCCUCUAUCUCCCUCUGCUGAAAAAUUUGGC